rnacentral:rRNA from 1 species
UGGGGAAUAUUGCACAAUGGAGGGAACUCUGAUGCAGCGACGCCGCGUGAACGAAGAAGGCUUUCGAGUCGUAAAGUUCUUUUAUAUGGGAAGAUAAUGACGGUACCAUAAGAAAAAGCCCCGGCUAACUACGUGCCAGCAGCCGCGGUAAUACGUAGGGGGCUAGCGUUGUCCGGAAUCACUGGGCGUAAAGGGUUCGCAGGCGGAAAUGCAAGUCAGGUGUAAAAGGCAGUAGCUUAACUACUGUAAGCAUUUGAAACUGCAUAUCUUGAGAAGAGUAGAGGUAAGUGGAAUUUUUAGAGUAGCGGUGAAAUGCGUAGAUAGUAAAAAAAAUACCGGUGGCGAAGGCGACUUACUGUGCUCAGUCUGACGCUGAGGAACGAAAGCGUGAGUAGCAAACAGG